AAGAUUCGGAUUCGACCCAAGUGAUACCAUUCUCUCAUCUCAAUUCCACACAAACAUCAAACUCCCCUCUCAGCCACCGGAAAUCGCCUACGGCGGCAGAUCUUCCCCUAAUGACUACAAAAUUUGACCACUUAAUCUUCAUGCCAUCCUCGUACUUAAUUCCACACCAGCUUCCUCGGAAAAGUUCCUAAGCUCCUCGAAUUUUAGAUCUUAGAACCAAAGAAAGAAAUAAUAAACCUAAUCUUUGGCUACCCCUUUUUAAUACCUUACACGCCUGAGCCCAUCUCGAGUUAAUCUUAUACCAAACGACUAUCUUCAAUGAAUACUUUCGAUUGUUAUUUGUUUCACGUCAUUUUACGGCGACUAGAUCUUGAUCAAACCUCCAUUGAUUGGACAAGAGCUUUGAAUCCUCCGCUGCCUUAUUUCUCCCGCCCCGAUGUGGUAGUCGAUAUCAUUACAUAUAGCAGUAGCUCUGCCUUUAGGUGCGAGCCAGUUCUCAUGUUACGAUGUCAGCUAUCAUCCAGUGAUUUCCUGGUUUCGUCGGUUUCAAAGAAAUCUCAAGUUUUGGCUGAGCUGUUGAUUUGUUGCUUAUGUGCUGCUGUCCUUUAGCCUUCAACUCAGGAUUUUAUUUAGUCUACAUUUCAUCUCUGUUGCUAGAUCCAGGUAUUUCGGAUUCCGGUAGCGGGUGUUAAUUAUUCGGUGGCAGAUCCAUCGGAGUUAGCAAGGUAGCUGACUGGCGAUCAUAGCCCUGCUUUACUCCCUCUUUAUCUUCCCUUAGUUGUAUUCUGUUAUUUUCAGGCUAUGUUUGUCUUGAUAUUGUCAAACGGUUGUAAUAGAUUCUCAUGACUAGUGACACCCCGAUUCGGGUUUCUUUUCCACA